GAUGAACGCUGGCGGCGUGCCUAACACAUGCAAGUCGAGCGGAAAGACGAGGAUCUUGGUGUUCUGACGUUAGGGACGGACGGGUGAGUAAUGCGUGGAUAACCUACCUAUAAGAGUGGGGUAAGGUCGGGAAACUGGAGCUCAGACCGGGUGAUAUAUUGAACGGGAUGGUUGAAUAGUGAAAGACGGGUAUGCUGACACUUAUAGCUGGCUGCGCGCUGGAGUAGCUAGUUGGUACGGUAACGGCUUACGAAGGCGAUCAUGAGUAGCCGAGCUGAGAGGGUGAACGGCCCCUCUGGAGCUGAGCGGCGGUCCAGAGUCCGACGGGAGGCCGCAGUAGGGAAUGUUCCGCGAUGGGCGAAAGCUUGCCGAAGCAGCGCAGGGUGAAUGAUGAAGGGCUGCGGAUCGUAAGACUCUGUUAUUAGGGUAGACCACUUGUGUAAGGGACGAUGCACGUCUUGACGGUACCUAGACAGAAAGCCACGGCUAACUACGUG
rnacentral:rRNA from 1 species